CACGGUAAGGAUUGACGGACUGAAGGCUCUUUCUCGAUUCCGUGGAAAGUGGUGCAUGGCCGUUUUUGGUUGGUGGAUCGAUCCGUCUGGUUAAUUCCGUUAACGAACGAGACCUCGGCACUCCGAAUAGCGCGGCGGACGUCGCGGCCUCCGGGCCGUCUUCCGCACGAGCUUCUUAGAGGGACCGUCCCCCGCCGGGGAAGGAGGUGCGAGGCAACGACAGGUCUGUGAUGCCCUUAGAUGUUCUGGGCCGCACGCGCAUUACACUGACGCGUCCAACGGGUGACUCCCGACCCGAAGGGGCCGGGGAAUCCGCAAGGCGCGUCGUGAUGGGGAUUGAACGUUGCAAUUGUUGUUCACGAACGAGGAAUUCCUAGUAGGCGCGGGUCAUCAACCCGCGCCGAUUACGUCCCUGCCCUUUGUACACACCGCCC
rnacentral:rRNA from 1 species